AAUGUAAUAAAAUUUUAAUGUGUAAUUAAUAAUAUUAAAUAAAAUAUUAAUAAAAUUAAUAAUAUUAAUAAAAUUAAAUAAAAUAUUAAUAAAAUUAAAUAAAAUAUUUAACUUCGACUUCAGAUAUCUUGUAUAGCUGUUAUCUGCGCGCGCAGCGGCUACUACAUCGAUAAUUGGUCGGCAAGCGACAUUUAUGACAAAGCUGACGCUCAUUGGAUAUCGCGCGUUGAACGUGACGCUUGCCGCGCUAGUGUGCCGAGGCACGCUGUUUCAUCACUCGAAUCGUUCACCACCGUCCACCGCCGUCAUUGCGUGUAAUUGCUUAGUUUUUUUGUGUAAUCGUCGAUAUGUUCGAUCGUUCUCAUGCCAGCGUGUGUUCCGUCCAUCUUAUAACGCGGGCACGCGGCUUCGCCGCCGACAGUUCGAUCGUCCUCGUGCCGGCUCGCGCUCCGUUCAUCGUAUAACGCGAUCGGGCACGCCGCUUCGCCACCGUUAUUGCGUGCAAUCGUCGAUAGUUCGAUCGUCCUCGUGCCGGCGUGUGCUCCAUCCAUUUUAUAACGCGGGCACGCGGCUUCGCCGCCGACAUUUUGUGCAAUCGUGGUCGAUAAUUCGAUCGUCCUCGUGCUCCAUUCUUGUUAUACAUCAGAUUUGCUGCCAUGCAGCAUCAAUUAUACAGUCGUUCGGUUACACAAAACUUUAUAUGAAAGUACAGCUUGCCCUAGGAAGUAAAUUAUUUGUAUUCUGUCCCAUUCAUAAAAUAGAGAUGCAGAAGGUAACAUUUGUUGAGUGGAGUAACUUAUAUAUUACAAAGAAUCGAAUUGAAAAGUCGAUUUUAUACAGCGAGUUAUAUAUAUGUUUAUUGAUGUAAUACUGCAAAUGUAAAAAAAAAAUACUGAGUUACACAAAACUUUAUACGUAAGUAGUUAUUUUCUUUAAAAUUUGCUAUGUAUAAUGUAUACAUUCUUAUAUCCAUACUUAUAUAUAUAUCACAUAUAAAAUCAUGACUUUAAUUACAUAACUUAUAUACAUGCGUGAUUAUAUUUUAAAUUUCUUAAUUUUUCUUGAAUUUGCUUAUUUUUAAUGCAGAUUUAUUUUUAUUUUACAGCUUGCCCUAGGAAGUAAAUGAUUUGUAUUCUGUCCCAUUCAUAAAAUAGAGUUGCAGAAGGUAACAUUUGUUGAGUGGAGUAACUUAUAUAUUACAAAGAAUCGAAUUGAAAAGUCGAUUUCAUACAGCGAGUUAUAUAUAUGUUUAUUGAUGUAAUACUGCAAAUGUAAAAAAAAAAUACUGAGCUACACAAAACUUUAUACGUAAGUAGUUAUUUUCUUUAAAAUUUGCUAUGUAUAAUGUAUACAUUCUUAUAUCCAUACUUAUAUGUAUAUAUAUCACAUAUAAAAUCAAGACUUUAAUUACAUAACUUAUAUACAUGCGUGAUUAUAUUUUAAGUUUCUUAAUUUUUCUUAAAUUUGCUUAUUUUUAAUGCAGAUUUAUUUUUAUUUUACAGCUUGCCCUAGGAAGUAAAUGAUUUAUAUGACGAUAACGGCAUCUGCUGUGAAUUUGCCAAAGCUGUUAUAUAUAUUACAAGAACUUUACUCUAUUAUAUGUGUAUAGCACUAUUCUUUAGAUAGAUAUACGCUUGUAAACUGACCGUUAGAUGUAAUCACACAUUACCGCAACAUUUUCUGUUUUACACAUCCUAUAUAAUAUAUUUCAAGCCGUUGUAGUGGUAUAAUUCCAUUUUUUGUGAAGUUGGAGUUAACCACUUGUUUAGAAUCACACAGGAAUAUUCUGUUUAUUUAAACAAAUGGAG